UACGUAGGGUGCAAGCGUUGUCCGGAAUUAUUGGGCGUAAAGAGCUCGUAGGCGGUCUGUUGCGUCGGCUGUGAAAACCCGAGGCUCAACCUCGGGCCUGCAGCCGAUACGGGCAGACUAGAGUUCGGCAGGGGAGACUGGAAUUCCUGGUGUAGCGGUGAAAUGCGCAGAUAUCAGGAGGAACACCGGUGGCGAAGGCGGGUCUCUGGGCCGAUACUGACGCUGGAGGGAGCGAA
rnacentral:rRNA from 1 species